GCAAUCUCGGAACGGCCGAUGUUCAAAAAGAGCCGCGAUUGCUUUCUGGGGGAUACGCGUAAUGACCAUUCUUGCUGAUUGGGACAUUACGUAGGGUAGGUAUCGGCUAGUCCUUUAGCUGAUAGACGGGAUACUUAUGGCGCAGUUCGCCAUGCUAAUGGGAAACCCAACA
ncrna:Vibrio splendidus ATCC 33789 DABA-DC-AT RNA